UUAUUGAUCUUUUGUUAUUACAGGAGGAAAGUUAUACUCGUACAACAAACGCGGCAUUUUAAAAAAUUAUAAUUUUUUAAAAUGCCGCGUUUGUUGUACGAGUAUAACUUUCCUCCUGUAAUAACAAAAGAUCAACAU